CAAUAGUGGGAUCUUACUGCAAAGUUCCCUGUGAUGCUCUUUCAUCCUAAGGAACAGACACAAUCCUAAGGAUGGAAAUACUUAAAUCGAGACUUGGGCUAGGAACAGGUGAUGCUCCGCCCGGGUCAAUUAAGGAUUGGAUGCGUAUGUAGGCCUGUUGAUCAAGGACUAUCUUAUCUAGCCACAUGCCCUGAGAAUGGGACAGGGUAAGCUUGAACCCGGCUAUUCCAUACAUGAAAAGACAAUCGCGCACUGGGCGUGGAGAGAUGGCGAGAGUGGCACGUACCCUCCUGGCAACGGAUCGCCUAAAAGGGGUGGUGUACUCUCGGGUGGUGCGGACCUGUUCAUGCAGUGGAGGAUCCGUGGGAAUAGUAGACAUCAAGGUUUACGAGAAACAUAUGUCGUGUGGUUAGAAAUCCUCAGCUGAGUAAAUCGAUUCGGAUCGCCGUUAUAUCCCCGGACAGUGGAGACUUGAGCUCCGACCUACAACCUAAGUCAGGAUGUGAACACGAUGGAUAAAAAUAAUGUUGUCUUGAUGUGAUGUGAAAUUAGACUAGAUGCAAAUAGAGUCUAUUAAUACUUAAUAUGGCGUUAAAAGAUUGAAAGUAAGGACUCACUUUAGUAAGCUAUUUCUGCAAAAGUAUCUAAGUUGAUUCUUGCUAAAGCCUCUCCUUGACUCCUAUUUAUCCAGCAUACCCUUGAGAGUCUUUUCCUUAGUCGGGUAAGUCUUGCUGAGUAAUUCCAUACUGAGGGUUUUAUUCCCUGUUGUUUUUCAGGUUAUAGUUUUUGUGCUGCUGUUGAUGGUGUUAAGUGCCGGUGGGGCUCGGCCUUCUUAUAUAAGUAUACCCCGUCUUUACCUUCUUAUUGAGGAUGGUCACUUGAGUUAGCAUAUAUUUCAAACUUAUAAAUAAUUUAUAACAGUUUAAAGUUAUUUCUUUGAAUCACCUUUGUAAUCACUCCGAUCAUACAAAGUAAAAUUUUGUAACUUGUAAAAUUUGGUAAUAAGAUUUCCGCUGCAAAGAUAUUGAUGUGUGUGAUUUGUGUUUACUUAAUCCCGCGGUUCUGGUUGUAAGUGGUUUAUCCGAUGUCCUUGGGUCAAUCGGACGGAUCCUGUUAAGUUAUUUAGUGCACAUGCAUAGCUGUCUGAGGUCUUUGAGACAAGGACAGGUGCAUGUGGGCCCAAUAACUUGGGAGGUUCUGCCACAAGCUCUCCCCGGGUAGAAAGGGAAUCAUGACUCAUGGGUAAAGUGUGCAACCUCUGCAGAGGGUAGUGAAACUGAUAUAUCAGCCGUGCUCAUGGUUAAGAGCAGCCUUGGGAUCCUCUUUGAUUAGAGAUACAGAUGGUUCGAGAUACAAGGAUUAUGUUGUGGUUUUGGUUCGACUAUGAUGGUGUUGUUCCUCAAUGAGGAAAUGGUUCACGGGUUGGUUAAUGCUAAAAUCUGGCUUCUACUAAUGAUAAAUACUUGACCAACUAAAAGCAACUGCUUGAGCCUAACCCCACAUAAAGCUAGUCCACUUCAGCCAAACGGGACAUUUGCUGAGUACGUUGAUGUGUACUCAUCCUUGCUUUACCACAAAACACCAGGUUGUCCGCAUUGUAACCACUUCUCAGGAGAAGGCGAAGCCGUGGAAGGAGACUUCCAGGAGUUCCAAGAUUACGAUGAAUUCUAGGUGUGGGUUGGCGGCAACCCCCAGUCAGCUGCCUGUGAAGGCCUUAUCUUUACUGUGUUUCGCUAGCACUUUGAUUUACUUGUUAAGACAAUGACUAUGUGGAUGUCUAUGACUCUAUGAUGUAAUAAGUACUCUUUUAUGUUAUUACUCGAGCA
rnacentral:lncRNA from 1 species